UAAAAAAUUGGCGGUAUUUUAGUCUAUUCAGAGGAACCUGUUCUGUAAUCGAUAAUCCACGAUGGACCUUACUUAAAUUUGUAAUCAGUUUAUAUACCGUCGUUAUUAGAAUAUUUUAAAAGAAUAUUAAUUUUCUAAAUUUUUUAAUAAAAAAUAUAUCAGAUCAAGGUGUAGCUUAUAUUUAAGUAGAAAUGGGUUACAAUAGAAUUAUUUAAAUGGAUUUAAAUUUGAAAUUUUUUUUUGAAAGUGGAUUUGAUAGUAAAAUUAUAUAGAUUAAUAGUUUGAUUUUAGCUCUAAAAUAUGUACACAUCGCCCGUCACUCUUAUUAUUAAGGUAAGAUAAGUCGUAACAUAGUAGAUGUACUGGAAAGUGUCUCUAGAAUGCAAUUUAAAGCUUUAUUAGUAAAGUAUUUCAUUUACAUUGAAAAGAUUUUUGUGCAAAUCAAUAUAAAUUGAUUAAAUUUUAUUUAUUAAUUUUUUUUGUUAUUUAAAGUAAUUAUUAAAAAUAAUUAUAAAAAUUAUUGUUUUAGUAUUUUAUAAAGAAAAAAUAAUUUAAAUUAUAGUUAAAUAGUAUUGUGAAA
rnacentral:rRNA from 1 species